rnacentral:rRNA from 1 species
GAUGAACGCUAGCGACAGGCUUAACACAUGCAAGUCGAGGGGCAUCAUGAGGUAGCAAUACCUUGAUGGCGACCGGCGCACGGGUGAGUAACGCGUAUGCAACCUGCCCGAUACCGGGGUAUAGCCCAUGGAAACGUGGAUUAACACCCCAUAGUACUUUUAUCCUGCCUGGGAUGGGAGUUAAAUGUUCAAGGUAUCGGAUGGGCAUGCGUCCUAUUAGUUAGUUGGCGGGGUAACAGCCCACCAAGACGAUGAUAGGUAGGGGUUCUGAGAGGAAGGUCCCCCACAUUGGAACUGAGACACGGUCCAAACGCCUACGGGAGGCAGCAGUGAGGAAUAUUGGUCAAUGGACGUAAGUCUGAACCAGCCAAGUCGCGUGAGGGAAGACUGCCCUAUGGGUUGUAAACCUCUUUUAUAAGGGAAGAAUAAGUUCUACGUGUAGAAUGAUGCCUGUACCUUAUGAAUAAGCAUCGGCUAACUCCGUGCCAGCCGCCGCGGUAA